rnacentral:lncRNA from 1 species
GUCGAUAACAGAAAACUAAAACCUGAAUUUGACCAUUAGCUCGCAGAGGGCCAAACUCGCAGAACAGAAAUUUAAAUCUGACCAUUGCCACGCAGAGCGUCGAUAACAGAAAACUACAAUCUGGAUUUUCAGCUUUGAAAAGUUGAUAAAUGCNGAGUAAAACAUGAAGAUUUUGCAAACAAUUUUCCUCGCUUUCUCAGAGAUGAUGUUAUGCCACGAUGGUGCAUGAAUGCAUAGACACAUGAGGCUUUCACUUCGUUCUUUUCUUUUACUCUCGCUUUUUCAUUUUCUUCUUUUUUUUCUUUUUUCUUUUCUUUUCUUUUUUUUUUCUUUUUUUCUUCUUUUUCUUUUCUCCUUUUUUUUUUUGAAAAUUCCAUGUUUGGAAUCCAUUGUUAAUAUUGUCAUCAGACACGAUGUACAUUCAAAACGCAUUCCUUGAAAACAACGUUGAGACGUAUAGAACCCUUUGNUGAGCAGGAAGAAAGUGUAACCCUGAGUUAAAAUUCUUUUUAUUGCUUUUUGCAAUCCAAAUUAACUUGAACCCUGGAGGGUAUGGGAAAAUGGUUAUGAAAAACAGAUGAAUAAUGAUUAUCCGUGAGCAAAUAUUAAUGUAUGUGUGUCCCUCAACUAGGAGACANUGCUAUUAACACGUUGGGCUCNAAUACCGCCCCAAUUUUGCACAGCAAGUAUCCUUUGGAAAAGUGAAAAGGUUUGGGUAGGAAGGAAUGCCCCAAAUUGGAUGAUCUUCGAUUGAUANGGGGACUUCACAUCUUUUUAUCUUCUUCUUCUUCUUCUUUUUUUCUUUUUUUUUAUAUGAAACUGAAUGUGACGUUCACCACAUCAUGCUAUUUCAAAGUUAAAAUCGUGAGAAAGAUUAUGACAAGCAGUCUUCAGUCAGCG